ACUUCAGAGGAUAGCAGAAGCGUUUGGGAAAGCGCGCCAGAGAGGGUGAGAGCCCCGUAAGCGAAAUCCAAAGGAGGCCUAUCAGUAUCCUGAGUAGGGCGGGACACGUGAAAUCCCGUUUGAAUCCGCGAGGACCAUCUCGCAAGGCUAAAUACUAACCAGUGACCGAUAGUGAACCAGUACCGUGAGGGAAAGGUGAAAAGAACCCCGGGAGGGGAGUGAAAGAGAACCUGAAACCGUGUGCCUACAAGUAGUCAGAGCCCGUUAACGGGUAAUGGCGUGCCUUUUGUAGAAUGAACCGGCGAGUUGCGUUAGUCAGCAAGGUUAAGUCAGAAAAGACGGAGCCGUAGCGAAAGCGAGUCUGAAGAGGGCGAGCAGUUGGCUGACGCAGACCCGAAACCAAGUGACCUACCCAUGACCAGGUUGAAGGCGCGGUAAAACGCGCUGGAGGACCGAACCCACGUAAGUUGAAAAUUGCGGGGAUGAGUUGUGGGUAGCGGUGAAAUUCCAAACGAACUUGGAGAUAGCUGGUUCUCUCCGAAAUAGCUUUAGGGCUAGCCUCGCAAAGAGGAUGCUGGAGGUAGAGCUCUGUUUGGACUAGGGGCCCGUCAAGGGUUACUGAAUUCAGAUAAACUGCGAAUUCCAGACAUUUAUGUGCGGGAGUCAGACUGCGAGUGAUAAGAUCCGUAGUCGAAAGGGAAACAGCCCAGAUCACCAGUUAAGGUCCCAAAAUUCAUGCUAAGUGGAAAAGGAUGUGGAGUUGCGCAGACAACUAGGACGUUGGCUCAGAAGCAGCCAUCAUUCAAAGAGUGCGUAAUAGCUCACUAGUCGAGUGACGCCGCGCCGAAAAUUUACCGGGGCUAAGCAUGAUACCGAAACUGUGGAUGUGCAUUUAUGCACGUGGUAGGAGAGCGUUCUAGCGGCGGUGAAGCAUGACCGAGAGGACAUGUGGAGCUUCUAGAAGUGAGAAUGCCGGUAUGAGUAACGAAAGACAGGUGAGAAUCCUGUCCGCCGCAAGACUAAGGUUUCCUGGGGCAGGCUCGUCCGCCCAGGGUAAGUCGGGACCUAAGGCGAGGCCGAGAGGCGUAGUCGAUGGACAACAGGUUGAAAUUCCUGUACUGCACCGAAUCGUUAUGAGCGAUGGAGGGACGCAGGAGGCUAGCAGCGCGUGGUGCUGGAUACCACGUUCAAGCGUCAAGUCUGAGAGCGAGUCAAAUGCUUGCUCUCAUAAGGACAAGGCGUGAUGAGGAGCGAAAUUAAAGUAGCGAAGGCUGCGACGUCACACUGCCGAGAAAAGCUUCUAGCCAGAGACGGUGCACCCGUACCGCAAACCGACACAGGUAGUCGAGGAGAGUAUCCUCAGGUGAGCGAGAGAACUCUCGUUAAGGAACUCGGCAAAAUGGCCCCGUAACUUCGGGAGAAGGGGCGCUGGUCGCAAGAUCAGCCGCAGUGAAAAGGCCCAAGCAACUGUUUAUCAAAAACACAGGCAUCUGCAAAAUCGUAAGAUGAAGUAUAGGUGCUGACACCUGCCCGGUGCUGGAAGGUUAAGAGGAGAGCUUAGCGCAAGCGAAGGUUUGAAUUGAAGCCCCAGUAAACGGCGGCCGUAACUAUAACGGUCCUAAGGUAGCGAAAUUCCUUGUCGGGUAAGUUCCGACCUGCACGAAAGGUGUAAUGAUUUGGGCACUGUCUCAACGAGAGACUCGGUGAAAUUAUAAUACCCGUGAAGAUGCGGGUUACCCGCGACAGGACGGAAAGACCCCAUGGAGCUUUACUGCAGUUUAAUAUUGGGUAUCUGUCAAGCAUGUACAGGAUAGGUAGGAGCCGGAGAAGAUAGGACGCCAGUCUUAUCUGAGGCGCUGUUGGGAUACUACCCUUGCUUGACGGAUGCUCUAACUCAGGUCUGUGAUCCAGGCCGAGGACAGUGUUUGACGGGCAGUUUGACUGGGGCGGUCGCCUCCUAAAGUGUAACGGAGGCGCCCAAAGGUUCCCUCAGAAUGGUUGGAAAUCAUUCGCAGAGUGUAAAGGUAAAAGGGAGCUUGACUGCGAGAGAGACAACUCGAGCAGGUACGAAAGUAGGGCUUAGUGAUCUGGUGGUACCGUAUGGAAGGGCCAUCACUCAACGGAUAAAAGCUACCCUGGGGAUAACAGGCUUAUCUCCCCCAAGAGUUCACAUCGACGGGGAGGUUUGGCACCUCGAUGUCGGCUCGUCGCAUCCUGGGGCUGAAGUCGGUCCCAAGGGUUGGGCUGUUCGCCCAUUAAAGCGGCACGCGAGCUGGGUUCAGAACGUCGUGAGACAGUUCGGUCCCUAUCCGUCGUGGGCGUAGGAAAUUUGAGAGGAGCUGUCCUUAGUACGAGAGGACCGGGAUGGACGCACCGCUGGUGUACCAGUUGUCUUGCCAAAGGCAUCGCUGGGUAGCUAUGUGCGGACGGGAUAAGCGCUGAAAGCAUCUAAGUGCGAAGCCCCCCUCAAGAUGAGAUUUCCCAUUUCUUCAAGAAAGUAAGACACCUCAGAGACGAUGAGGUAGAUAGGCCGGGAGUGGAAGAGCCGUGAGGCUUGGAGCGGACCGGUACUAAUCAGUCGAGGACUUGACCAAAA
rnacentral:rRNA from 1 species